rnacentral:hammerhead_ribozyme from 1 species
GUACUACUGAAGAGUCUCACAAUAGGACGAAACGAUCAUCCAGUGC